CCAGGUUAAUAUCCUCUACCCAACCCUUCCCCUUGAACCAGGUUAAUAUCCUCUACCCAACCCUUCCCCUUGAACCAGGUUAAUAUCCUCUACCCAACCCUUCCCCUUGAACCAGGUUAAUAUCCUCUACCCAACCCUUCCCCUUGAACCAGGUUAAUAUCCUCUACCCAACCCUUCCCCUUGAACCAGGUUAAUAUCCUCUACCCAACCCUUCCCCUUGAACCAGGUUAAUAUCCUCUACCCAACCCUUCCCCUUGAACCAGGUUAAUAUCCUCUACCCAACCCUUCCCCUUGAACCAGGUUAAUAUCCUCUACCCAACCCUUCCCCUUGAACCAGGUUAAUAUCCUCUACCCAACCCUUCCCCUUGAACCAGGUUAAUAUCCUCUACCCAACCCUUCCCCUUGAACCAGGUUAAUAUCCUCUACCCAACCCUUCCCCUUGAACCAGGUUAAUAUCCUCUACCCAACCCUUCCCCUUGAACCAGGUUAAUAUCCUCUACCCAACCCUUCCCCUUGAACCAGGUUAAUAUCCUCUACCCAACCCUUCCCCUUGAACCAGGUUAAUAUCCUCUACCCAACCCUUCCCCUUGAACCAGGUUAAUAUCCUCUACCCAACCCUUCCCCUUGAACCAGGUUAAUAUCCUCUACCCAACCCUUCCCCUUGAACCAGGUUAAUAUCCUCUACCCAACCCUUCCCCUUGAACCAGGUUAAUAUCCUCUACCCAACCCUUCCCCUUGAACCAGGUUAAUAUCCUCUACCCAACCCUUCCCCUUGAACCAGGUUAAUAUCCUCUACCCAACCCUUCCCCUUGAACCAGGUUAAUAUCCUCUACCCAACCCUUCCCCUUGAACCAGGUUAAUAUCCUCUACCCAACCCUUCCCCUUGAACCAGGUUAAUAUCCUCUACCCAACCCUUCCCCUUGAACCAGGAUCAUAUCCUCUACCCAACCCUUCCCCUUGAACCAGGAUCAUAUCCUCUACCCAACCCUUCCCCUUGAACCAGGAUCAUAUCCUCUACCCAACCCUUCCCCUUGAACCAGGAUCAUAUCCUCUACCCAACCCUUCCCCUUGAACCAGGUUAAUAUCCUCUACCCAACCCUUCCCCUUGA